rnacentral:rRNA from 1 species
UACAGAGGUCCCAAGCGUUGUUCGGAUUCACUGGGCGUAAAGGGUGCGUAGGCGGUCGGGUAAGUCUGAUGUGAAAUCUCAGAGCUCAACUCUGAAACUGCAUUGGAUACUAUUCGGCUUGAGGUCUGGAGGGGGGACUGGAAUUCAUGGUGUAGCAGUGAAAUGCGUAGAGAUCAUGAGGAAGACCAGUGGCGAAGGCGGGUCUCUGGACAGUUCCUGACACUGAGGCACGAAGGCCAGGGGAGCAAACGGG